rnacentral:rRNA from 1 species
UAGCAUAUCAAUAAGCGGAGGAAAAGAAACCAACAGGGAUUGCCCCAGUAACGGGGAGUGAAGCGGCAACAGCUCAAAUUGAAAUCUGGCCCCUAGGGCCCGAGUUGUAAUUUGCAGAGGAUGCUUUUGGCAAGGCGCCGCCCGAGUUUCCCUGGAACGGGACGCCGCAGAGGGUGAGAGCCCCGUCUGGCUGGACGCCGAGCCUUUGUAAAGCUCCUUCGACGAGUCGAGUAGUUUGGGAAUGCUGCUCUAAAUGGGAGGUAUAUGUCUUCUAAAGCUAAAUAUUGGCCAGAGACCGAUAGCGCACAAGUAGAGUGAUCGAAAGAUGAAAAGCACUUUGAAAAGAGGGUUAAACAGUACGUGAAAUUGUUGAAAGGGAAGCGCUCAUGACCAGACUUGGGCUGGGCGGAUCAUCCGGCGUUCUCGCCGGUGCACUUCGCCUCGCCCAGGCCAGCAUCAGUUCGCCCCGGGGGACAAAAGCUUCGGGAAUGUGGCUCCUCCGGGAGUGUUAUAGCCCGUGGCACAAUACCCUGGGGCGGACUGAGGUUCGCGCGUCCGCAAGGAUGCUGGCGUAAUGGUCAUCAGCGACCCGUCUUGAAACACGGACCAAGGAGUCGUCCUCGUAUGCGAGUGUUCGGGUGUCAAACCCCUACGCGUAAUGAAAGUGAACGCAGGUGAGAGCUUCGGCGCAUCAUCGACCGAUCCUGAUGUUCUCGGAUGGAUUUGAGUAAGAGCAUACGGGGCCGGACCCGAAAGAAGGUGAACUAUGCCUGUAUAGGGUGAAGCCAGAGGAAACUCUGGUGGAGGCUCGCAGCGGUUCUGACGUGCAAAUCGAUCGUCAAAUAUGGGCAUGGGGGCGAAAGACUAAU